GAUGAAGAACGCAGCGAAAUGCGAUAAGUAAUGUGAAUUGCAGAAUUCAGUGAAUCAUCGAAUCUUUGAACGCGCAUUGCGCCCGCCAGCACUCUGGCGGGCAUGCCUGUCCGAGCGUCAUUUCAACCCUCAGGGCCCCUUCGGGGGACCUGGCGUUGGGGAUCGGCCCGCCCCCGUGCGGCGCCGUCCCCGAAAUAUAGUGGCGGUCUCGCUGCAGCCUCCCCUGCGUAGUAGCACACCUCGCACUGGAGAGCGGCGCGGCCACGCCGUGAAACCCCCAACUUCUGAAUGUUGACCUCGGAUCAGGUAGGAAUACCCGCUGAACUUAAGCAUAUCAAUAAGCGGAGGA
rnacentral:misc_RNA from 1 species